rnacentral:rRNA from 1 species
AUACGGAGGGGGCGAGCGUUGUCCGGAAUGAUUGGGCGUAAAGGGCGUGUAGGCGGUUUAGCAAGUCAGAAGUGAAAUUCCCGGGCUUAACUUGGGCGCUGCUUCUGAAACUGCUUUACUUGAGUGCUGGAGAGGAUAGUGGAAUUCCUAGUGUAGCGGUAAAAUGCGCAGAUAUUAGGAGGAACACCGGUGGCGAAGGCGGCUAUCUGGACAGUAACUGACGCUGAGGCGCGAAAGCACGGGGAGCAAACAGGAUUAGAUACCCUGGUAGUCCGUGCCGUAAACGAUGAAUACUAGGUGUAGGGGGUAUCGACUCCCUCUGUGCCGCAGUUAACACAUUAAGUAUUCCACCUGGGGAGUACGGCCGCAAGGUUGAAACUCAAAUGAAUUGACGGGG